AUUAAUGAAUAUAACAUCGGAGGGAGGAAUAUGGGGGAAGUUGUUGCUGGCCUUUUUGGCAUGUGCACACUCUUCUGAGGACCUCUCGACGUCUUUCAUCUCUCACCUGUGCACCAAUUGUGGGUGAGAUUUCUCUCUCCAGUAGGAGGGGGAGGUCGUUAAUAACCUAUGUAUUCAAUAUACAUCUUCGUGUAGAAAGUCCCAGAAUGUUUACUAUCAGAGAGUUGCGACUUCUAGGAGUUGUGAAUCUUUGAGAUAAAAGUUUAUUACAACUUUCAGCAAUGGAUCUCUUGGCUCUCGCAUCGAUGAAGAACGCAGCGAAAAGCGAUAUGUAAUGUGAAUUGCAGAUCUACAGUGAAUCAUCGAAUCUUUGAACGCACCUUGCGCUCCUUGGUAUUCCGAGGAGCAUGCCUGUUUGAGUGUCAGUAAUUUCUCAACCCCCUCUUGAUUAGAUUCGAGAGGGGAGCUUGGAUAGUGGGGGCUGCUGGUGACUAGGGACUUUUGUCCCUAGACUCGGCUCUCCUUAAAUAUAUUGGCUUGCGGUUAACUUUUCGAGUUUGCGCGAAAAGGCUUUCGGCGUGAUAAUGAUCGCUGUGUGCUGAAGUGCAUAAAUGAAAAGUUUCGUGCCUCUAAUAUUAUGUUGACUGUUUAUUCAGUCUUCAAAAAUUUGACAUUUUGACCUCAAAUCAGGUAGGACUACCCGCUGAACUUAAGCAUAUCAAUAAGCGGAGGAAAAGAAACUAACAAGGAUUCCCCUAGUAACUGCGAGUGAACCGGGAAAAGCUCAAAUUUUGAAUCUGGCAGUCUUUUAGAU
rnacentral:rRNA from 1 species